GACGAAGUGACCGAGUGGUUAAGGUGGCAGACUGCUAAUCUGUUGCGGUUUCCGCGCGCAGGUUCGAAUCCUGCCUUCGUCG